GCUUAUUUAGUGAUAAACUAUUUCAUAGAAACAUCGGCUUGCAUAAAGCUAGGACAACACAGUAGUAUAUUUCAAGUUUAUUUGUUUUGAAGAUUGCUAAGCUACUGAAUUUGCAGAUGUCGGACGAUAAAACAUAGAGUCAACAAGCUGCCCCCCUAAAAAGAAGCGUCAAUACUCGGUAGAAACACUCUCUAAAAUGAAGCUUCGGCGACGUGAGUGGUACAAUGAGCUGUCAUGUCAUAAAAAAAGAAUCGCGUUUAUCACAGCAGCGAUCAAAACAGUUUGAAUCAAAA
rnacentral:lncRNA from 1 species